AAAAAGCAUCAUGGAAAGAUUGAGGACAUUAGUCCUUGCCUUAUGAUCUUGGUAUUCUCUAUAUCAAGCCACUUAUCCCUCACAACAUGCUCCCUCAUCUCCAGCAUUAGCACCAGUCAUUACACGAAAUUGAUAGAUGAGUUAUUUUGGUAGUGAUUUCUUAAACUUUUCUACUUCCUUCUUCCCGCCCAUUUCAUUGUUUUUCUCCCUGCACACUCUACUCUGUCUUGACUCGACCUUAUCAUGAGGCCAGAGUAAAGAGAUCGAUAAGGUUUGGAGGUGGCCUUUCGUCCUUGAUCUGGCUAAAUGCCAACAAGUGGGAGCAACUGACAGUCAGCGAAGGACUUCCCAAAGUGUCGUGCACCCAGCCAUGCCCUUCUUGCCUCCCCAGAAGCUUUAGAAUCCUUGUGCGAUUGAAUCAAAUCAACUUUGGAGCACAUCCACAUUAAGGCCCUCUCUGAUGAUCUUCUGUGAAAAGAAAAAUAAACCCUUUUCAGCUUUUCUUUCGCUGGAAACUUUUCAUGUGGCUCCAACUCCAAGAAAGUCAAUGAAUGGUGGUGGAAUGGUCUCGAAAUGGACGGUUCUUGUGUUCUCUGCCACUGAUGAUGAUGAAGGUAGUGAAGGUUCAGUUGCUGAAACUUGAGGUAGUGUCGAUGCUGUGGAAUCUGAGAAAUAAUAAGGGCUUUGGUAGUU